GAUGAAGAACGUAGCGAAAUGCGAUAAGUAGUGUGAAUUGCUGAAUUCAGUGAAUCAUCGAAUCUUUGAACGCACAUUGCGCCCCUUGGUAUCCCGAGGGGCAUGCCUGUUCGAGCGUCAUUUCACCACUCAAGCCUGGCUUGGUGUUGGGCGACGUCCUCUUUGGGGACGCGCCUCGAAACGCUCGGCGGCGUGGCACCGGCUUUAAGCGUAGCAGAAUCUUUCGCUUUGGAAGUCGGGGCCCCGUCUGCCGGAAGACCUGCUCGCAAGGUUGACCUCGGAUCAGGCAGGGAUACCCGCUGAACUUAAGCAUAUCAAUAAGCGGAGGA
rnacentral:misc_RNA from 1 species